UUACGGUCAUAUCACACUGGAGCCACGAUUCUCGUAUGAUCACCGAAGUUAAGCAACAUUGAACCUGGUCAGUACCUAGACGGGUGAUUGAUUGGGAAUACCAGGUGUUGUAAG